GCGCUGGGCCUGUCGCAGCCGGGCAACGGCUCGCUGCUGGCAACUCACGCUGACCGUAAGCAGUUGUUCCUCAAUGC
rnacentral:tRNA from 1 species